UGAACAGACUAAAUGCCACUCUUUUUUUUUUUUUUCUUAGACCCUGGAGUGUGAUGAAUUUGGCCCUGUGAAAUUGCUGCCAGUAACUGUUCAUGCUGUGUUUGGUUUUUUUCCAUGUAGAGUUGCAGAGGAGGAUCUGCUCACUGCUUUAUCUCCAUGGGACUCCUCAGGCCUGAUGGCUGUGGAACAUCUUUGUGAAGCUUUGAAAAAUUAUGGAGAAUCAGAGCAUUUUCCUCUACCUGCUGAUCACUUCUGAAGCAAGAUGGAAGAUCUGAUGGACCAAAACUCCUUUUAGUUCUGUAUUCCUGGACAUUGAAAUAUCCCUUUGUAAGAGCAUGGAAAGCAAGGUCUCUGCCCCAAGAAGAAGAUAAUUUAAUACAAAUAUAGAUGAUAACAACAAAAAGAGCAAGUGAAGAGAUGAUGGCAGAUACUGCUGGGGGGCAGACUGCGUGAAGUCUAAGUGGAAGGAAGACAUGUGAAGUGAGUUUUGAAAGCGAAGAAGGAAUUAUCUUAAUGAAGGAGCGGCUGAUCCAAGUGCCAAGUGUUGCCUGAGAGCAUGUAGGACUCGAGGAGAGCAGGAAACACUCAGACAGCAGUAGGCAAGCAUAAUGUGAGGGCUGUGCCUCAUGCCUGUUAACAGAGGUUUGCUUGUGUAAUUUAUACCAAUAAAAAGCAUGUGAUGGAAAAAAAUACUUUUUCC
rnacentral:lncRNA from 1 species